rnacentral:rRNA from 1 species
GACGAACGCUGGCGGCGUGCUUAACACAUGCAAGUCGAACGGAAAGGCCCUGGCUUUGUGGGGUGCUCGAGUGGCGAACGGGUGAGUAACACGUGAGUAACCUGCCCUUUACCUUGGGAUAACUUUAGGAAACUGGGGCUAAUACCGGAUAGGAGCACCUGCUGCAUGGUGGGGGUUGGAAAGUUUCGGCGGUUGGGGUAGGACACGCGGCUUAUCAGCUUGUUGGUGGGGUAGUGGUAUACCAAGGCCUUGACGGGUAGCCGGCCUGAGAGGGUGACCGGCCACAUUGGGACUGAGAUACGGCCCAGACUCCUACGGGAGGCAGGAGUGGGGAAUAUUGCACAAUGGGCGGAAGCCUGAUGCAGCAACGCCGCGUGCGGGAUGACGGCCUUCGGGUUGUAAACCGCGUUCGCCUGUGACGAAGCGUGAGUGACGGUAAUGGGUAAAGAAGCACCGGCUAACUACGUG